rnacentral:rRNA from 1 species
CAGCAGCCGCGGUAAUACGAAGGGGGCUAGCGUUGCUCGGAUUUACUGGGCGUAAAGGGCGUGUAGGCGGCCUGGGGCGUCCCAUGUGAAAGGCCACGGCUCAACCGUGGAGGAGCGUGGGAUACGCUCAGGCUAGAGGGUGGGAGAGGGUGGUGGAAUUCCCGGAGUAGCGGUGAAAUGCGCAGAUACCGGGAGGAACGCCGAUGGCGAAGGCAGCCACCUGGUCCACUUCUGACGCUGAGGCGCGAAAGCGUGGGGAGCAAACCGGAUUAGAUACCCGGGUAGUCCCUGUCUCUUAUAC